AAUGUAUCGGAACGUGCCCAGUAGCGGGGGAUAACUACGCGAAAGCGUAGCUAAUACCGCAUACGCCCUACGGGGGAAAGCAGGGAUCGUAAGACCUUGCACUAUUGGAGCGGCCGAUAUCGGAUUAGCUAGUUGGUGGGGUAACGGCUCACCAAGGCGACGAUCCGUAGCUGGUUUGAGAGGACGACCAGCCACACUGGGACUGAGACACGGCCCAGACUCCUACGGGAGGCAGCAGUGGGGAAUUUUGGACAAUGGGGGAAACCCUGAUCCAGCCAUCCCGCGUGUGCGAUGAAGGCCUUCGGGUUGUAAAGCACUUUUGGCAGGAAAGAAACGUCGUGGGUUAAUACCCCGCGAAACUGACGGUACCUGCAGAAUAAGCACCGGCUAACUACGUGCCAGCAGCCGCGGUAAUACGUAGGGUGCAAGCGUUAAUCGGAAUACUGGGCGUAAAGCGUGCGCAGGCGGUUCGGAAAGAAAGAUGUGAAAUCCCAGAGCUUAACUUUGAACUGCAUUUUUAACUACCGAGCUAGAGUGUGUCAGAGGGAGGUGGAAUUCCGCGUGUAGCAGUGAAAUGCGUAGAUAUGCGGAGGAACACCGAUGGCGAAGGCAGCCUCCUGGGAUAACACUGACGCUCAUGCACGAAAGCGUGGGGAGCAAACAGGAUUAGAUACCUGGUAGUCCACGCCCUAA
rnacentral:rRNA from 1 species